rnacentral:lncRNA from 1 species
CCCCGCCGGCUGGUCCCCGUGUCCAGGAGGCAGCCAGCAGCAUCUGAGCCCCGGCCGGCUGAGCCCCCUACCCGCGGGGGAACAUGGUGAGACAGGGGUUUGGGGGGAGGUUCCCCAGUCGCCUGGUGGCCUCAGUGCCCCGGGGGAGGGGGUCGUGGCUGGGCAAUGUGACACCCCAUCUGUCUGUCUGUCUCUGUCCCUAGCACCCCAUCCCCGCAGAGCUGGGAGCCCCUGGAUCCUGACAUGGCCACGCCGGGCUCUGACCUGCCGCUGGAGGAUGGGGAGCCUCCGCCCCCCAACUCUCCUGGAGCCCCCUGGACCCAGGUGAAGGAGGAGGGGCCCCUGUCGAGGCCAGAGGCAGCGCUAACCCCAGAGACCGAGGUGCUGGGCACUGAUGGGGAGGGGUCGAUGCACAGUGCUGGUGAGAGGGCUGGGGGGGCACUGGGGGUGGGGGACAGAGUGGGGUUGGCAUGGAAGGGCCUGGGCCCCAUGAAG